rnacentral:rRNA from 1 species
UACGUAGGGUGCAAGCGUUGUCCGGAAUUAUUGGGCGUAAAGAGCUCGUAGGCGGUUUGUCGCGUCUGCUGUGAAAACCCGGGGCUCAACUCCGGGCCUGCAGCCGAUACGGGCAGACUAGAGUUCGGCAGGGGAGACUGGAAUUCCUGGUGUAGCGGUGAAAUGCGCAGAUAUCAGGAGGAACACCGGUGGCGAAGGCGGGUCUCCGGGCCGAUACUGACGCUGAGACACGAAAGCGUGGGUAGCAAACAGG